rnacentral:rRNA from 1 species
CAGUCGCCGCGGUAAUACGAAGGGGGCUAGCGUUGCUCGGAAUUACUGGGCGUAAAGGGAGCGUAGGCGGAUGAAUUAGUCAGGGGUGAAAUCCCGGGGCUCAACCUCGGAACUGCCUUUGGUACUGUUCAUCUUGAGUAUGGGAGAGGUGUGUGGAACUCCGAGUGUAGAGGUGAAAUUCGUAGAUAUUCGGAAGAACACCAGUGGCGAAGGCGACACACUGGCCCAUUACUGACGCUGAGGUGCGAAAGCGUGGGGAGCAAACAGGAUUAGAUACCCGAGUAGUCCCUGUCUCUUAUAC